CUUUACCAUAAGGUUCAACAAGACUACAUUAACAGACUAAUGACCUCAACCACUAACAACUUAAUAGGUAUCAAUGCAAGAAAAAUUCACUUCUUAGAAAAAAGUACUGAAUCCAUAAAACUGAAACAAUCAUGAACCAUGAACUUUUAAUCUUUUCCAAACAUACCAAAGAUUUCUUUCUAAGACUAUAUAAGCAUGAGCAUCCUAGUAAUGAUAAUUGUAUGAUCUCUGGACAAUUUAAUUGAUCUUUCACUAGUAAAUCAAUUCUACUAAUGAUAAUCAACAAUUGGUCAAUAAAGGAACUGAGGGACUUUACAGCUUACAUUUUACAAUGUAACCAUUUUUGGUAAUAAUAAUUUAUGUUCCACAGCAGUAGUAAUUAAAACAUGCUUUAUCCUGUAAAGGGAGAUCAUUAAAAAGAAUUUGGCAAGUUAAUGGCUUUAUCAGUCUUUUGAACACACAAAUUGCUUAUUUCUCUAACAUUUAAUUUUUUUACAACACUCAAUAUAUUCUGUUCUAUAGUGAAACUACUUACAUACUAAAAUUAAAAUUAUGGCUCCAAAGGUUUUGUUAACAAAUUCCAGGUCCAGAGAAAAUUUUAAUCCUUCAAGAAGUAUUGUUUGUGAAAUAAAAUUUCUACAUAAUAUUAGCUUAGCCAAACAGUAACUGAGCCAAAUGGGUCUAUAACGUAA
rnacentral:lncRNA from 1 species